rnacentral:rRNA from 1 species
GACGAACGCUGGCGGCGUGCCUAAUACAUGCAAGUAGAACGCUGAAGGAGGAGCUUGCUUCUCUGGAUGAGUUGCGAACGGGUGAGUAACGCGUAGGUAACCUGCCUGGUAGCGGGGGAUAACUAUUGGAAACGAUAGCUAAUACCGCAUAAUAGUAGAUGUUGCAUGACAUUUGCUUAAAAGGUGCAAUUGCAUCACUACCAGAUGGACCUGCGUUGUAUUAGCUAGUUGGUGGGGUAACGGCUCACCAAGGCGACGAUACAUAGCCGACCUGAGAGGGUGAUCGGCCACACUGGGACUGAGACACGGCCCAGACUCCUACGGGAGGCAGCAGUAGGGAAUCUUCGGCAAUGGACGGAAGUCUGACCGAGCAACGCCGCGUGAGUGAAGAAGGGUUUCGGAUCGGAAAGCUCUGUUGUAAGAGAAGAACGAGUGUGAGAGUGGAAAGUUCACACUGUGACGGUAUCUUACCAGAAAGGGACGGCUAACUACGUG